UGCAGUCGACGCAGCGGGGAAGCUUGCUUUCCCGCGCGAGUGGCGAACGGGUGAGUAAUACAUCGGAACGUGCCCNGUAGUGGGGAUAACUAGUCGAAAGAUUAGCUAAUACCGCAUACGACUGAGGGUGAAAGUGGGGGACCGCAAGGCCUCAUGCUAUAGGAGCGGCCGAUGUCUGAUAGCUAGUUGGUGGGGUAAAGGCCCACCAAGGCGACGAUCAGUAGCUGGUCUGAGAGGACGAUCAGCCACACUGGGACUGAGACACGGCCCAGACUCCUACGGGAGGCAGCAGUGGGGAAUUUUGGACAAUGGGCGAAAGCCUGAUCCAGCAAUGCCGCGUGUGUGAAGAAGGCCUUCGGGUUGUAAAGCACUUUUGUCCGGAAAGAAAUGGCUCUGGUUAAUACCUGGGGUCGAUGACGGUACCGGAAGAAUAAGGACCGGCUAACUACGUGCCAGCAGCCGCGGUAAUACGUAGGGUCCAAGCGUUAAUCGGAAUUACUGGGCGUAAAGCGUGCGCAGGCGGUUGUGCAAGACCGAUGUGAAAUCCCCGAGCUUAACUUGGGAAUUGCAUUGGUGACUGCACGGCUAGAGUGUGUCAGAGGGGGGUAGAAUUCCACGUGUAGCAGUGAAAUGCGUAGAGAUGUGGAGGAAUACCGAUGGCGAAGGCAGCCCCCUGGGAUAACACUGACGCUCAUGCACGAAAGCGUGGGGAGCAAACAGGAUUAGAUACCCUGGUAGUCCACGCCCUAAACGAUGUCAACUAGUUGUUGGGGAUUCAUUUCCUUAGUAACGUAGCUAACGCGUGAAGUUGACCGCCUGGGGAGUACGGUCGCAAGAUUAAAACUCAAAGGAAUUGACGGGGACCCGCACAAGCGGUGGAUGAUGUGGAUUAAUUCGAUGCAACGCGAAAAACCUUACCUACCCUUGACAUGCCACUAACGAAGCAGAGAUGCAUUAGGUGCUCGAAAGAGAAAGUGGAC
rnacentral:rRNA from 1 species